GACGAACGCUGGCGGCGUGCCUAAUACAUGCAAGUUGUGCGCUGAAGGUUGGUACUUGUCCCAACUGGCUGAGCAGCGAACGGGUGAGUAACGCGUGGGGAAUCUGCCUUUGAGCGGGGGACAACAUUUGGAAACGAAUGCUAAUACCGCAUAAAAACUUUAAACACAAGUUUUAAGUUUGAAAGAUGCAAUUGCAUCACUCAAAGAUGAUCCCGCGUUGUAUUAGCUAGUUGGUGAGGUAAAGGCUCACCAAGGCGAUGAUACAUAGCCGACCUGAGAGGGUGAUCGGCCACAUUGGGACUGAGACACGGCCCAAACUCCUACGGGAGGCAGCAGUAGGGAAUCUUCGGCAAUGGACGAAAGUCUGACCGAGCAACGCCGCGUGAGUGAAGAAGGGUUUCGGAUCGUAAAACUCUGUUGGUAGAGAAGAACGUUGGUGAGAGUGGAAAGCUCAUCAAGUGACGGUAACUACCCAGAAAGGGACGGCUAACUACGUG
rnacentral:rRNA from 1 species